GCGGAGGCCGCCCGGGCGGCAUCGGCGGUGGCGGUGGCGGAGGGCAGCGCGGCCGAAGCCGCCGCCGCAGCGGAGGCUGCAGGGACCCCCUUGGGGGAGGCGGAUGCGGAUGCGGAUGCGAAUGAGGGGGUGGCGGCCGCUGUGGCGUCUGCGGCGGCCGCCGCCGAUGCAGAUGCGGAUGCUGAGACCCGCGGGGGCUGUGAGGGGAACCCAGAUUUUCCGAUGGCCUCCCUGUACGUGGGCGACCUGCACCCUGAGGUGACCGAGGCAAUGCUGUACGAGAAAUUCAGUCCAGCUGGGCCCAUCCUCUCCAUCCGCAUCUGCAGGGACAAGAUCACCCGCCGCUCAUUGGGCUACGCAUAUGUCAACUACCAGCAACCGGUGGACGCCAAGCGGGCCCUGGAGACCCUGAACUUUGAUGUCAUAAAGGGCAGGCCAGUGCGCAUCAUGUGGUCCCAGAGGGACCCGUCGCUCCGCAAGAGCGGGGUGGGCAACGUCUUCAUCAAGAACCUGGGCAAGACCAUCGACAACAAGGCGCUGUACAACAUCUUCUCGGCGUUCGGCAACAUCCUUUCCUGCAAAGUGGCCUGUGACGAAAAGGGGCCCAAGGGCUACGGGUUCGUGCACUUCCAAAAGCAGGAAUCCGCGGAGCGGGCCAUCGACGUGAUGAAUGGCAUGUUCCUGAACUACCGCAAAAUUUUCGUCGGGAGAUUCAAGUCGCAUAAAGAACGAGAGGCCGAAAGGGGAGCCUGGGCCAGGCAGUCCACUAGUGCUGACGUCAAGGAUUUCGAGGAAGACACCGACGAGGAGGCCACCUUGCGAUGAAGACAUCCCAGGAGCUAGCCAGCCAGCAGAGCCAAACCUUGGUUCACACCCGGUUUACAACCCCCCACCCCCAGCCCUCCCCCGCCAACCCACCAGCAGUGUAUUUAUUGUAUUGGGAGUGCAGGUCUCUCUCUCUCUCCCCCUCUCUGCUCCCCCCUUCCUAUUUUCUCUCCCCACCUCUCCUCUCCUUCCCUUCCUCUCCCCCGCCCACCCCUACCAAGGGCGUUGUGAAUAAUCUUACUAAUCUGUGCCAUUUGUAGGUUAAAGGCUGCCUCUUCUCCCUGUGGUUUGGUUUAAAAAGCAUUUUCAUUCUCUCUUUGUUUACUGCACAGGUGAUACCAUUUCAUGGUAGAAACAUCAGAAAGGAGAAGGAUGUUAGAUGAGGGAAGAAACAAGAGAGUAAUUGCUCCCCUGGUCCUACUCCCCAGAGAGAACCACUUUUACCUUUUUGGCUUAUGAAACGUCAUCUUCAGUGCCUGCAGAGUGCUCCAGUGUAUCCGUGGACCUUAACAUUUCUGUAAUCAUUCCCACGUUGUUGGACAUUCAGGUGGUGCCUAGUUCUUUCCCUGUGUUUAAGACCAACAUUGCGUGCUCUGUGCUUUGAUGAGUGAAUCCUUCCUUGUCAAGCCAAAUCUUUGCCAGCAUCCCGGUGGGGUGGUCUCCUUAACUGUGGACUUGCAAGAUCCACAUAGAGACAUUUUAAAGACUUUUCCUGUGUGUUGCCAAAAGGCCCCCUUCAUAAGCAUUGUACCGAUUUGCACUCGUGCCGGCCAGCGCAGCUAGUAAAGAGUAUGCCCGUUUCCCCUGCAUAGUCUCCUGGUCACCGUAAUUGAUGGUACGUGUGUGUGCAUGUGUGCGUGUGUGCCUGUGUGUGUGCGUGCGUGUGUGUGUCUGUGUGUGUGUCUUGGCCAGCUUGUCGGGCUGCAAAGGGUAUUUCGCUGUCUUCGGUGGUUCUGCUGCAAUCCAACACUGUUUAAUACCCCCUUCCUCUGUGCCCACUUCCUGUCCUUUUCCCUUUUGUCAGAAAAGUAAUUCAGCGUCAUUGCUGGAAAAAAAAAAUAAUCACGAAGCAGACAAGUUAACAGAGAAAAAUUAAUGUCACCCGUAAUCGUUUCUGAUGAUUACUUAUACAUUCCUGAAACAUUUUCAUCUGUAUCUGCCCCAUAUUUUUAUGUGAUAUAUAUGUGAAAUUAUUGUAUAUACUGUUUCAAUAUCUGCUUUUUCACACAUAAAUAUAUAUUAUAGACAUAGAUUUAUAGAUAUUCUUGAACUUUCAUGUCAUUAAAUAUUCUUCUAAAAUAGUUUUCAUGGAUGUUUAGUGCUCUAAUGUGUGAUUGGGCUGGAUAGAGUGAUAGAUAUAUGUACAUAUUAGAUAUAGAUAUAGGGAUAUAUUUGUUUUAAGUAAUUGUUGGACAUCUGGGUUGUUUCAUUUUGUUUUCUUACACAAGCCAAAGCUGCCAACAGGAUCACAGUGCACAAACAUUACAUUCAUGUUUAUUUCCUGAACAGACGUUCAUAGUAUAAUUGAAGGAUGAAAAGAUUGGGAGGCUUAAAAUCUUUUUUUUUCCUUCUUUAGUAAGUGACCAUUGAUAAAGAUAGUACCAAUUUACCCUCAUAAACUACGCAGAUAUUGUGAGUGUACCUGGAUACCUUUACAGUUUUUGAGACUUGAUAUUAAAUUACUUAUAAUUUGAGAUUUUUUGUUUCUAUUUGUUUUAAACAUUCAUCUUUAUGCAGACAAUACAUUAUCAACUAAAAGCAUUUUUUAAAAUAUUCUAAAGAAAAAAUUGAAAAUCAUUCUUGAUUCUACCACUUGACGAAAAUAGAAAAAACUUUUGAAGCAUUUGAGACAUACAUGAAAAUAACUAAUACCUCCAAAAAUGUAAUAUAGGAUGUAUGUUUCAUUAUGGUAUAUUUUCAGCAUAAGAAAUUUUACUUACCAUCUUUCCAAAUUCUUUAAUAGUCUCCUAUAAUUUUAUUUUUACUUAGUGUUUCAUUUUACAGAUGAACUAUAAUUUCCAAAAUCCUGCCCUCAAUAUAUUUUUUUAAAUGGCUAUGACUUUUCCGUAACACAUUUGGAGCUGAAUGUUUGCUGACAUCAAGAAAUAUUUAAUUGCCUUAUAUACCUUGCUCUCUGCUGCCAAAUGCUUCUUCCACAAAGUUUAUGCCCUCCAACAGUGUAAGAGAAUGCAUAUUUCCUUUACCAUCUCCUUAAGUUAGUAUUUUUUUAAGUUAUGGGAAAUUAUUUAGGCUUGUAGUUUUAAAAAAUUAUUUCGUUUUACAAGUGCGUUACUUUAAAAAGACACACAUAUUAUAUAUGCACAAUAGCCACAUUAAAGAGAUUAUGCCUUUGCAGGCUUUGCCUUUUGUAAAUUUUAAAACCAUUAUAAAAUCAUACUGAAUAUAUUCUAUACUAAAUGUAUAUUCUGUGUUCAUAGUGAAAGUAUUCUGUCAAAAUUUUUAUUUAAGUAUAUUGUAAAUACAUCUAAAACAUCCUUUGCUACUAAAUAUUCUCCUGCAACUCACUGCCAUUGUAUAAGUGGAUCAGAAUUUUUUUUUAAGUGUUUCUUCACGUUGGGCUUUAAAAAGUAGUUUCUAAAUUUUUCCCAGAAACAUGAAUCUGUGGUAAAUAA